AUCAAACAGCCGAACGGUCCGUCACCUGCUAUAGUUUAAUGCGCAUGCGCUACAAUCCAAGAACAGUUGUUUGCCAGAGCGACCAGCCUUCAUGAACAUAACCUUAAAAAUUUUCACAAUUCUCGCUGGCACUUGUGCUUAACACUG